CUAAGUAUUGUUGUUGUUAUUUUACAGAUGAGGAGACCCUAGGCACAGCAUGUAAAACCGUUCCAACUCACAUCUCCCUGUGUUGCAGCAUUAGAAGCCGAACCUGUGUUUUCUGGCUAUGAAGACAAGCCUCUUAAUCACGCUGCUACAUACAGAAAGGUCUCGGACCCCUCUCAAGUCUUGUGGGGAUGUGAGAGGAUGACACGAAGAGACUGAGAAGGGUUUAUUAAUGGAGUAAGAGUUAAAGGAGGAACAUGACGCCGAGAACGGAUGCGUGAGAACAUCUGAUGGCUUUCUAUGAUGUGAAUGGUUGAAUAAGUAAAUAAAUGGGAGAAGAGACGAUAUCCCAUACAGAAGAAUGCUGAAUGAUUUACACUCACUCAGAGAGGUGGACGAUGUUUCUCCACCCCGAGACCUAACCCCAGUGUGACAAUGAGGAAACCUCAGUGAGCUUUUAGGAGAGUGGGACUCGCCAGUAACCGCACUGACUGCUGCUCUGUCUGACCGCUGUGCCUCAAACUGUCAAGAACAUGAAUGUAUCCCUCACAUCAAACUCUAGUCUCUCAGGUAAAACAGAAACUUGGUAAAAAUAAAAAGCUAAAUGAUACAAACACAAAAGAAAACUUUGGUGAUUU